UACGGAGGGUGCAAGCGUUAUCCGGAUUUACUGGGUUUAAAGGGUGCGUAGGAGGGCAGGUAAAUCAGUGGUGAAAUCCUAGAGCUUAACUCUAGAACUGCCGUUGAUACUAUCUGUCUUGAAUAUUGUGGAGGUGAGCGGAAUAUGUCAUGUAGCGGUGAAAUGCUUAGAUAUGACAUAGAACACCAAUUGCGAAGGCAGCUCGCUACACAUAUAUUGACUCUGAGGCACGAAAGCGUGGGGAUCAAACAGG
rnacentral:rRNA from 1 species